UACGUAGGGCGCAAGCGUUAUCCGGAAUUAUUGGGCGUAAAGAGCUCGUAGGCGGUUUGUCGCGUCUGCCGUGAAAGUCCGGGGCUCAACUCCGGAUCUGCGGUGGGUACGGGCAGACUAGAGUGAUGUAGGGGAGACUGGAAUUCCUGGUGUAGCGGUGGAAUGCGUAGAGAUCAGGAGGAACACCGGUGGCGAAGGCGGAUCUCUGGGCCAUUACUGACGCUGAGGAGCGAAAGCGUGGGGAGCGAACAGG
rnacentral:rRNA from 1 species